rnacentral:rRNA from 1 species
UUGAACGCUGGCGGCAGGCCUAACACAUGCAAGUCGAGCGGUUGAGAGUAGCUUGCUACUUGAUGCAGCGGCGGACGGGUGAGUAACGCGUGGGAAUCUGCCCAGUAGUGGGGGACAACAGCCGGAAACGGCUGGUAAUACCGCAUACGUCCUACGGGGGGAAGGGGGGGAUCUUCGGACCUCUCGCUAUUGGAUGAGCCCGCGUCGGAUUAGCUAGUUGGUAGGGUAAAGGCCAACCAAGGCUACGAUCCGUAACGGGUCUGAGAGGAUGAUCAGUCACACUGGAACUGAGACACGGUCCAGACUCCUACGGGAGGCAGCAGUGGGGAAUAUUGGACAAUGGGGGAAACCCUGAUCCAGCCAUGCCGCGUGUGUGAAGAAGGCCUAGGGUUGUAAAGCACUUUCAGUGGGGAGAAAGGUUUGUCACCUAAUACGUGAUGAAAUUGAUGUUACCCACAGAAGAAGCACCGGCUAACUCCGUGCCAGCAGCCGCCGUAACAC